rnacentral:lncRNA from 8 species
AUGGUGUGUUGUUGUUGGUGGUGUGUUGUUGUUGUUGUGUUGUGUUGUGUUGGUGUUGGUGUUGUGUGUUGUGUGUUGUUGUUGUGUUGUUGUGUUGUGUUGGUGUUGUUGUUGUGUUGGUGUUGUUGUUGGUGUUGGUGUUGUGUGUUGUGUGUUGUUGUUGUGUUGUUGUGUUAUGUUGUGUUGGUGUUGUGUUGUGUUGGUGUUGUUGUUGUGUUGGUGUUGUUGUUGUGUUGGUGUUGUUGUUGUGUUGGUGUUGUUGUUGUGUUGGUGUUGUUGUUGUGCUGGUGUUGUUGUUGUGCUGUGUUGGUGUUGUGCUGUGUUGGUGUUGUUGUUGUUGUGUUGGUGGUGUGUUGGUGUUGGUGUUUUGUUGGUGUCUGUGUUGAUUGUGUUGUGUGUUGUGUGUUGUUGUUGUGUGUUGUUGUUGUGUUGGUGUUGUUGUUGUGUUGGUGUUGUUGUUGUUGUGUUGGUGGUGUGUUGUUGUGUUGGUGGUGUGUUGUUGUGUUGUUGUUGUUGGUGUUGUUGUUGUUGUUGGUGGUGUUGUUGUUGGUGGUGGUGGUGUUGUUGAUGUUGUGUUGGUGUUGUGUUGGUGUUGUUGUUGCUGAGUUGGUGUUGGUGUGUUUGUGUUGUUGUUGUGUUGGUGUUGUGUUUGUGUCGGUGUUGUUGUUGUUGUGUUGGUGGUGUGUUGUUGUUGUGUUGGUGUUGUGUUUGUGUCGGUGUUGUUGUUGUUGUGUUGGUGUUGUGUUGUUGGUGUUGUUGUUGGUGUUGCUAACCCUUUGUUGUUGUUGUGUUUGUUUCCUCUGUGUUCCGUUGGUAGGAGGAGCCUCAGCCUGUAUACGAGGCAGAAUAUGGAGGAAUGGAGCAGGGAGGAGAAGGAGAAGGCUCUCAGGGUGGCUAUUAGUCAUUCCAGGGACCUCUUCUCCCCAGCCCUCUGUUGGUCCCUCGCUCCCUUCGCCCUGCUGUUCCAGACUUCCAGAUGUUCUACUUAUUUUUUUGUGA